rnacentral:rRNA from 1 species
UGGGGAAUAUUGGACAAUGGGCGGAAGCCUGAUCCAGCCAUGCCGCGUGUGUGAAGAAGGCCUUUUGGUUGUAAAGCACUUUAAGCGAGGAGGAGGCUACUAGUACUAAUACUACUGGAUAGUGGACGUUACUCGCAGAAUAAGCACCGGCUAACUCUGUGCCAGCAGCCGCGGUAAUACAGAGGGUGCAAGCGUUAAUCGGAAUUACUGGGCGUAAAGCGCGCGUAGGUGGUUCGUUAAGUUGAAUGUGAAAGCCCCGGGCUCAACCUGGGAACUGCAUCCAAAACUGGCGAGCUAGAGUAGGGCAGAGGGUGGUGGAAUUUCCUGUGUAGCGGUGAAAUGCGUAGAUAUAGGAAGGAACACCAGUGGCGAAGGCGACCACCUGGGCUCAUACUGACACUGAGGUGCGAAAGCGUGGGGAGCAAACAGG